rnacentral:rRNA from 1 species
UACGAGGGGGGCGAGCGUUGUUCGGAAUUAUUGGGCGUAAAGGGUGCGUAGGCGGUUUGGUAAGUCUUAUGUGAAAUCUACAGGCUCAACUUGUAGUCUGCAUGAGAAACUGCCGGGCUUGAGUAUGGGAGAGGUGAGUGGAAUUCCUGGUGUAGCGGUGAAACGCGUAGAUAUCAGGAGGAACACCUGUGGCGAAAGCGGCUCACUGGACCAUAACUGACGCUGAUGCACGAAAGCUAGGGGAGCAAACAGG